AGAGAGAGAGAAAGAGAGAGAGAGAAGGGCGAGAAGAUCAAACAGUUCCAAACAAAUGGUUCCUGCUUCUCACUUUAGACUCUUAGCAAGAUCAUUUGACCUCUCGUUUGUCCAAGAUGGCUCACGCAAGUUUAAAGCAAUACCCGUUCUGUGCCCAGUUUGCCUUGUCGAAAGACACCGGCUGGCUCACUUUUUUUUCGAGCUCAAAACAGGCAAGAGGUAACAGCCCGUCUAAAAUGACCCUCUUGAGUUUCGUUUUAAAAGUGACGGGUGAAAGAAGGGAUCUUGGCUUGGAUGGGGAAAGGGAGAUGGACGAUGGUCGUCGAUGCCCAGGGAAAUACUGAGCACCAAGAAGCCAGAGGGAGUUUUGCCAUCUACAGUGAGGGGGCAAAAAAGUUUGAUCAUUUUAGGUAGAGUGGGUUGCAAAGCGGGAACAAACGCAAGGAACAUUUUAAGUAGGGGUUUCGGUGUUUUUCAUUCGAGAGAGGACGCCGCAUUUACUUACUAGUCUGUCUCCUUCGUCAGGAUUCCACUUUAGAGUGUUUCGAGUCGAACAAAAAGCUGCGAAGGACGAGCAAAAGGAUCUUUUCUAGGGAACAAAGCCCGCAAGACAGCCGCAAUUGGAAAGAAUCCUAGGGCAGCAUGCGACUGUUUUUCUCGGUCUUGAUCGUGACUCUCACCUUGGUGCAUUCUUACACUAUUCUUGGGAUCCAAAGCAAUUCAAGGAAUGUGUAGGAACCUAGUCACCCCUUCAGGCUUAACAACCAACUUAACUGACUGACUUACUGGUUGGUUGGCUGGUUGGUUGGCUGUCUGAAUGACUGACGACCAUCCCCUGAACUGUCUGAAUGAGGCUUAAAGACAGAGGAAAGCAGGGAAAAACUCAACGAAUGUGGAACAGGAGCAAAAGAAUACAAAUGAGAGACUUUUUCAGAUGCUUCAUCCUCGACUUUUUUGGGAUGCAAUCUAUAAAAUACCUAGAAUGUACAACUCGACUCGCACUAUUUCACUUCUUCAAUGUUAUUGCUUUGACAAAAGGAAAAUGGAUGUGCCCUUUUUUUACCGAGCUCGAGUUAGUAUGAAUGAAGAGAAUCAAUGAAAAUAUCCAGGGCAGACACUCGUCGAAUCAAUCAAUUUCUUUUUCAUCGAGGCCCUAAAAGAGCAGAAACUAUUUUAAUUCACUUUGAUCGAGGGAUUUCCCCUAAUACCGACAGAGUCCCGAGGCCAUGAACAAGAAACUCGUAGGAUUUCGAGCCAUCAGUCGCCAUUUCGUGAGUCUUAUCUUGGCAGGGGAACCCGAGAAAUCCGACCGAACACAGGGAACUUCUAGAACCCGAAGAAGACGAAAGAGAACCGGCGGGACAAACUUUAAGAAAAGUGGAUUGAGUGAGGAGUUUCAUCGCUGUAAAGUGCAAAACUCCAAUUGUGUUUUCUCUUCAAGGGUUCUGUCAUUCAUCCUCUUCUAACCAUGUCCCAUUCUUUGCCAAACCAUUCUCGACCAACUACUUCACGUAUGACAUGAGGAACUAAGGGGCCAUGGAAUGAGGCUCAGAUGAAAGAGGAUGGAAACAACCAGCAAUGUUUUCUGACCACAAAGACAAAGAAACAUGGCAGAUAUGGCGAAUAGACUCCCCAAGGUUUGAUAUCCGUGGUCCAGGGACUCCAAAUCCGGUCUUAGUAACAUGCUCAUUUCCUUCCAACAAGCCGAGAGGGUCUUCCAAUGAUUGCCACUCAUGCAUGAAAUUCGGAGGAAGCGAUGAGGGAAAUCACAAAACAGCCAAGAACUGAUAUCGUUUCUUUCUCAAUCCCCAUUUUAGACUGACAGACCUUUGGAAAACGCCAAAUCAUCUCCAACUCUGGCAAAAGAAAUGGAGUGUGCGACUUUGCCAAAGAAAACAGGAUAUGCUAUACCUUUGCGAUAUCGUUAGGUCGCACGAAGAGCCAAAUCAACAGCAAAAGCACGUCGAGAUCCUAUUUGGCAUUUGGUCCUGUCAAAGUGACAAAGAGCGGCCUCUCCCCCACCUCAUUAAACUCUUGGGGAUCUUUGGCUCCCUCGAAAUCAGCCAUCCAUCCAUCCAUCCAUGCUCGGUGGCAGCCUGUUUGUGGCACUUGAGCACCCUCGGAUGUGUCUGGUGCAACCGAGAAAUCAACCCUGCCCCUCUCUCACUCCCUUUCCCUUCAAUGGGUGGCAGGGUGGCAGGGUAGCAGGAUGGAAGAAUAUCUGCCUCUGAAGACUCAAUCUAAACAAUUUUUGCAUGACAAUUGCCACUGGAAUUGGAUUCACAACACAACACCCUUAAAAAACUCGAAUAGGAUCCACCUAGCUUCAAAAUGGACGAGAAACGUGGCAGGGGAA